rnacentral:rRNA from 1 species
GUGUCAGCAGCCGCGGUAAUACGGAGGGUGCGAGCGUUAUCCGGAAUUACUGGGUUUAAAGGGUGCGUAGGCGGAUGAUUAAGUCUAAGGUGAAAGUCUGUCGCUUAACGAUAGAAUUGCCUUGGAUACUGGUUAUCUUGAAUAGGGAUGAGGAUAGCGGAAUGUGGCAUGUAGCGGUGAAAUGCAUAGAUAUGCCAUAGAACACCAAUUGCGAAGGCAGCUAUCUGGUCUUUUAUUGACGCUGAGGCACGAAAGCGUGGGGAUCGAACAGGAUUAGAAACCCUGGUAGUCC